rnacentral:lncRNA from 1 species
AAACAAACCUCCAGUGAGUCCCUCAUUCAACUUUGUCUCAGCUCAGCUUCAAAGGGACUGAGCAGUAAACACACUUUCUUCACCUGAAAAUUGGUGAGCAAGGAAAAGAGCCUGCCCUGCCUAAUGCCUCUCUGCCCUGCCUGGCUAUGUGAUUUUGGGUAAAUCUCUGGGCUUCACUGGGUUUUAGUUGCCAGGUUUCCCCAAAUGUGCCCUCUCUGACUCUGACAUUUGAAGUCAGAGUCAUUUUCCUUUAAAGUCUUUUCUUUCUGCUCUUUUGGGGCAAGUUUUGGGGUGUGUUUAGACUCUUAUCCCAAGAGUUAUUGUGUUCUCUCGUGAUGAUGGCUCCUACCAUCUGAAAUUUGUACUUUUCUAAGCUCCUUGAUAGCCUGUUAAAUUCUGCCUUCUUGUCAGUUCUGGACAGAGAGUCUAGUGGUCCUUAU